GACGUAGGUGGCGAGCGUUACUCGGAAUCACUAGGCGUAAAGCGCGUGUAGGCGGGUGCUUAAGUCUGCUGUGAAAUCUCCCGGCUCAACUGGGAGGGGUCAGCAGAUACUGGGCGUCUGGAGUGAGGUAGGGGGUACUGGAAUUCCCGGUGUAGCGGUGAAAUGCGUAGAUAUCUGCAGGAACACCCGUGGCGAAGGCGGCUGACUGGAUCGCAACUGACACUGAGGAACGAAAGCUAGGGG
rnacentral:rRNA from 1 species